UGGCGGCGUGCCUAACACAUGCAAGUCGAGCGCGAAUGGAGCAAUCCUAGUAGAGCGGCGCACGGGUGAGUAACACGUGGGUAAUCUGCCUGGAAGUCCGGGACAACCUGCCGAAAGGCUGGCUAAUACCGGAUAAGCCCACAGGGUCUUCGGACCCCGAGGGAAAAGAUGGCCUCUGCAUGCAAGCUAUCACUUCCAGAUGAGCCCGCGACCCAUCAGCUAGUUGGCGGGGUAAUGGCCCACCAAGGCAACGACGGGUAGCUGGUCUGAGAGGACGAUCAGCCACACUGGAACUGAGACACGGUCCAGACUCCUACGGGAGGCAGCAGUGGGGAAUUUUGCGCAAUGGGCGAAAGCCUGACGCAGCAACGCCGCGUGUGUGAUGAAGGUCUUCGGAUCGUAAAGCACUUUCGACUGGGACGAAAACCCGCUGGCUAACAUCCAGCGGUCUGACGGUACCGGGAGAAGAAGCACCGGCUAACUCUGUGCCAGCAGCCGCGGUAAUACAGAGGGUGCAAGCGUUGUUCGGAAUUAUUGGGCGUAAAGCGCGUGUAGCGGCUUUGCAAG
rnacentral:rRNA from 1 species